rnacentral:rRNA from 1 species
CCGUUUUUAGAGUUUUGGAUCUGGCUCAGAUUGAACGCUGGCGGCAGGCCUAACACAUGCAAGUCGAGCGGAUGAAGGGAGCUUGCUCCUGGAUUCAGCGGCGGACGGGUGAGUAAUGCCUAGGAAUCUGCCUGGUAGUGGGGGACAACGUUUCGAAAGGAACGCUAAUACCGCAUACGUCCUACGGGAGAAAGCAGGGGACCUUCGGGCCUUGCGCUAUCAGAUGAGCCUAGGUCGGAUUAGCUAGUUGGUGGGGUAAUGGCCCACCAAGGCGACGAUCCGUAGCUGGUCUGAGAGGAUGAUCAGCCACACUGGGACUGAGACACGGCCCAGACUCCUACGGGAGGCAGCAGUGGGGAAUAUUGGACAAUGGGCGAAAGCCUGAUCCAGCCAUGCCGCGUGUGUGAAGAAGGUCUUCGGAUUGUAAAGCACUUUAAGUUGGGAGGAAGGGCUGUUACCUAAUACGUGACAGUUUUGACGUUACCAACAGAAUAAGCACCGGCUAC